UUAUUAUCAACUUUUCUCUCUCUCUUUACAAGUCUUACUUCUUCCAACCCCUCUCUAUCUAUAAUUUAAUUAAGCUUUAAAAGCAAUCUCAUCCCAACAUCAAUAGUUCCCACUAUAUAAUAUGGCCUUUUACAUGUCCAAAAUCAUCAACUUGGACCACAAACAAGUAUAAUUUACUUGUUCAUCUUACUGGUGGUUCCGAUCACCUCCUCCGUCGCAGCGUUCCGAUCACAAAAAUUCCUCGCUUCCUAUCUGAAGACAGGAUGAGUAGGAGAAAUGGAAAUGGUUCAAGGCUUGACUUGAAGCUGAAUUUGUCACCACCACCAAGAGUGAACCACGCGGCGCCAGUGGAUUCGCCGACUAGGUCGUUGACCAUGUCGCCAACGAACUCAUGCGUGUCAUCGGAUGAUUCGUUGGCGGGUCAACAUUGUUCCAACAGCUCUGAAGAAACAGGUUCCAUGUUGUUGGUUGGUUGUCCAAGGUGUCUCAUGUAUGUUAUGUUAGCAGAAGAGAAUGAUAAAAGGUGCCCAAAAUGCAAGAGUACUCGUUUGCUUGAUGUUAUCUAUGAGAAAAAUAAGAAGAGGUACUAGAAGGAACGUCAGAUAAAGUUAGCAUCAAAUCUAUCUAUCAAAUUUAAGUUCAUCAAUCUCGUCUCGCCUUAAAAAGCGAAAAAACUUACGUAUGGUGUUUUCGACUUGCUAUGUAUAGCACUAUUUGAGCUCCAUUUUGACUUUUUUAUAAAAUAAAAAUGAAAAAAAAAGUGGUUGAAGGGAAAUUUGGAGCUUCUAUAGUGCUAUAUAUUAUUUUAUUUUUAUUUUUAUGGGUUGAAGUAAGAAGUUCAAGGUUAGGUUUGUUUCUAGUCUAGGAAAGGGGUAAUGUUGGAAAAGUAGAAGGUUGUGUUUGGUAUUGUGUUGGUUUGUUUAAGUUAUGUUGUUGUUCUAUCUUUAUAAGAAAACUAUGUAAAAUGGCCAAGUAAAAAAAAGGCCUAUGUUUUCUUAUAUAUAAAAAUAACUAUUGGAAGUUAUAUCAA